rnacentral:rRNA from 1 species
GACGAACGCUGGCGGCGUGCUUAACACAUGCAAGUCGAACGGUAAGGCCCUUCGGGGUACACGAGUGGCGAACGGGUGAGUAACACGUGGGUGAUCUGCCCUGCACUUCGGGAUAAGCCUGGGAAACUGGGUCUAAUACCGGAUAGGACUCCGGACUGCAUGGUCUGGGGUGGAAAGCUUUUGCGGUGUGGGAUGGGCCCGCGGCCUAUCAGCUUGUUGGUGGGGUGAUGGCCUACCAAGGCGACGACGGGUAGCCGGCCUGAGAGGGUGAACGGCCACACUGGGACUGAGAGACCGGCCAGACUCCUGCGGGAGGGAGCAGUGGGGAAUAUUGCACAAUGGGCGCAAGCCUGAUGCAGCGACGCCGCGUGAGGGAUGACGGCCUUCGGGUUGUAAACCUCUUUCAGCAUCGACGAAGCGAAAGUGACGGUAGGUGCAGAAGAAGGACCGGCCAACUACGUGCCAGCAGCCGCCGUAA